GGGAAAGUGCACUUACAAUUAAUGCAAGAAGCACAGAGCUUUUAAAGACCUAUUCUGCCAGUGGAAUAAAAUCAUGUGGCUGUAUUUAUGAAGAUAAAAAUAUGUUUAGCAUAAUAAUAUAUAAAUAGCAAUAUUUUUACUGUAUCCACUUGAGUUUGCCUAAAGAUAAAGCUCUGCUGUAGGAUGUAAUUUAAUUUUAACCACACCCGCUGCACUGUAUAUAAAUGCUGGUAGGCUGAUCCACAAUGAUGGUCUGCAGAGGAUGAAUUUAGAGAAUUAUGAUGAACUCUUGACUUUUCUUCUAACACCAUCAUGAGGUUUAUAUUUAAAGUUAGGACUAAAAUGUGUUGAUGUGGCCUUAGUAUACUAAUCUGUGCAUUACAUUAGUUUAUAGGAGCAACAGCAACAUUAACAUUACUGAUAACAACCUAAAAUCUUUACCGUUCUAACAUAUAUGACUAAAAUCCUGAGCACAGUAACAUUAAUGCUUGCUGAAAAUCAACGUUUUUGCAUUUAAUGUUAAUGAGCUGUCAUUUGUGUGGCUGUACAUCUCAUAUUGUUAUAUUAAUCUGCAUGUAGUCAUUCCAGAUGAAGAAAUUUCUUUUUUUUAACAAGUUAGGAAAUGUAUGGCUUCAGGUGCAUUUUUAUAACAACUAUAGAGGGAUGUUACUACUCCGAGAAGGAUGCUGUGGAAAAAAGGGCUUCACCAAGCCAGCCAUCAAAGCAUCGCAGAAGUACAGAAAUUGACCCGUGGCAUAUUUCUGAAUGGCCCUGUAAAUAUGCCUGAAUUAAAAAAUGCAUCUGUCAUCAUUAUCGCAGUCAUCAUCUGCAUCGCCAUUUUGUCUGUCCCGCAUGAGAAAUAAUCGACUGUACAGUUUCAGAGCAUUGCUUUUGUCCCCAGCGUCUCAGCAGCGAAACUGACAGGAGGCCAGCUGUCUGCCCGUGUGUCUGCCUGUACUCUGCUCUUUAUUACCACCACCUCCUUCUGUAAUUACAAGCUCCAGUGCACACAAGCUCACCAUCAGGUGGGGCCAGGGCCACAAGCACAGCACCAGCAGCUCUCAUCAUUGUGGCAUUUUGAAUUCCCCCCGCGUGUCAGAGCUGCAGGCCAACAGGAGGCUUUUUGCACAUCAGAGGUGCCACAGCCUGCAGGCCAAUCAGCCAGCUGGGUGCUGUGGCUUCUCAGUACCGUAUCAACACUGCACAGCCUUCAGCAUGGCACACAGAGAUAAAAAAGAACUGAAGAUGGAGGCGAAAGAUCUGGGCAGAUGAACAUGGAGGCAAGAGCAAAUCAAGAAAAGUAGAGAAGUGUGGGAAAAUAACAUAAAAAGGAAUGAGGCACAUCGAUAUGACUGAAAUAACAAUAUUAAUAUCAGAAAAAAGUAGAAAAUAUUAUCCAGGACUUUAAGUAUAUUAAAUUGCAUAUGACACCACGUGAUAAUAAAGUGAAGCUGCUUUGAUGUCAAAAUUUGCAUAGAACGUCAAAAUUGCACGAUAGAUUGUCACCUAGCAGAGAAGACAAUGCAUCAGUGUGGAAAUAUGCAAGGAGAAGUCAUCUCAAUAACAGUUUCACAUCAUCACAAAGGGAGCUGUAGAGUCUCUCUCUCUUUUUUAAUCUGACACCAGUUUGGUUCUUACUCAUUUUAACAACUCAAACUUUAACUAUUAAACCAUGAGCAAGUCUAAUCUCCCAGUGAGAGCCCAAUAUUUUAUCUCAAUGUGGGAGUUAAACUCUGCAUUAAGACUGCUCGUUUGAGAUGUUCCACAAGGGUAUUUCAUUUUGGAAGACAGCGGGCUAAGAAGAUUAUAAGCACAUUUUUCAAUUUAUCUCACACACCCUGACUCCUUUUAUUGGCUGGGACCCUCUUAUCAUGUUUUGCCAGCAGCUAAAGCAGCCAUUGGCAUCUUCCACUGUAUCCUCUACUUUGGAGUAGUUGCAUUUGAUGCAAUAUUAGACUACACUUAUUUUUACCCCGAGUGUGGCCUUUUUGAACAUUUUGUUUCUCAUAGUUGUGCAUGUGCGUUAUUAAUGCGUUUCGGUGUUCUAAAUGGCAACUUGAUGAAAUCAAGUUAACUCAAGGGAUGACUUUGGGAAAACAGAGGAUUACAUAAAAAUGUUAAGUCUGUGUUAUUCAUCAUCUGGACCUUGAGUGAGUCACAAAGGGAGAGAGGGGGAAGGGGGGGGGGAGAGAGAGAAGUUGCUGAUGUUUAAAAAAACGGGAGAAAAAAAGCUGCAGGAGUAACGAUAUAAAACCUUGAGACAAGCGGAUGCUCCUCUCUCAAACCCGCUGCCAUCUCAGUGGUGGAAAUGUUGGAGUUGGGGAGGGUCGACUUUGAGGUGACAUUGACGCUAUGUAGACGA
rnacentral:lncRNA from 1 species